UGGUCCCAGUGGGGACCCUCGGAGAGGCCGUAAGCAGCUGUCACCUUAUCGACGGUCACUUGCCUGCAAUUGGAUCACGAUAAAAAUUACUUGAGCACACCAAAGGGACUCACUGACACGCAAGAAGAUGCCAAGAACUAAAAAUAUUUAUACACCAAUUUAGGAAAUUUUGAAUGCGACGCGCCGAAGAUAUUAAUGAAGUUCAAAAUUAUUUCUGCUCGGAACAACGCAUUUUUACAUAGCAACUUUUCCACGUUGUUUUAUUGCACAAUGAACAACGUUUUUGAGCCAUUAAUGAUAAAAAUUACUUGAGCACACCAAACGGACUCACUGACACGCAAGAAGAUGCUAGGAACUAAAAAUAUUUAUACACCAAUUUAGGAAAUUUUGAAUGCGACGCGCCGAAGAUAUUAAUGAAGUUCAAAAUUAUUUCUGCUCGGAACAACGCAUUUUUACAUAGCAACUUUUCCACGCUGUUUUAUUGCACAAUGAACAACGUUUUUGAGCCAUUAAUGAUAAAAAUUACUUGAGCACACCAAAGGGACUCACUGACACGCAAGAAGAUGCCAAGAACUAAAAAUAUUUAUACACCAAUUUAGGAAAUUUUGAAUGCGAAGAUAUUAAUGAAGUUCAAAAUUAUUUCUGCUCGGAACAACGCAUUUUUACAUAGCAACUUUUCCACGCUGUUUUAUUGCCAAUGAACAACGUUUUUGAGCCAUUAAUGGUGAAUACAGGCAUAGAUAAAGUAGAUGAUAUUGUAGCGACAUUAAUGAUAAUAGCGAUAGAUAGCAUCGAACGAAGAAAAUUACUUCGCUCCAUUUUAUUCUUUUAAUCUUUGACGUAGUCACGUCAUUUAAUAAUGUGUGAAAAAUGGAAUACUUCAAUGAUCAAUAGUACUUAACACCGCUGCGUCGUACACGUUGCGAUAACAAUCUUUGUCAGAAAAGGAACUGCGGAUACUGAUAUUUAUUGAUACGUUCAUUUGUGAAGAUGUAUCGUACAAGUUUUUUUGCGACAGAGCAGAAUUAUAGACGAGUUUUAUAUGUAUUUUAUAUAAACACAUUUGUACAGAUAUAAUACAUGAUUUUAAUAUGA